CCUUAUAUUUAUUUCUAUUUUUUCAGAGAAACUCUUUUUUUUUAAUUUCAUAUGAUGUGGAACGUAAAGAUACAUACAACCCUAAAUUUUCACUUUUCCAGCGCUAACCGUUAUUUUUUAAUGGCCAUUUAAAUAUUUUACAUCUAUAUAAACAAAAGAAAGUCGUGACAGUUACCAACACAUAACUCGAGAACGACUGAAUAUAUUUUUAUGAAAUGUUCCACGUGUAUUUGACCGGACCGAGAAUAGGUUGUUAUGUAUUUUUCAUAUCCGUACGUCGUAACGGGGGCUGCCCCCCUAAAAUAUUUUUUUAUUUUUUUGGUCAAACUGUUUUUUCUUAAUUUUAUGUGAUGUGGAAGGCAAAGGUAAAUACAACCCUAAAUUUUCACUUUUCUAUCUUCGACCGUUAUUUUUUAAUAGCCAUCUAAAGUUUUGCAUCUUAUAUAUAAAAAUCUAUUGCUGUGCGUUAGUCUCGCUAAAACUCGAGAAUGUGUGGACCGAUUUGGCUAAUUUUGAUGUUGAAUUAUUUGUGGAAGUUCAGGGAAGGUUUAUACGGUUUUAUAUUGUCAUUUUAGUAGCCACCAAAAUUUUUACAGCUAUAUGUAUAAAAUGCUCUUUUUACAGUGUUUGUUGCCAUACUCCUCCGAAACGACUUGACCGAUUUUUAUGAAAGUUUGCAAGUGUACUCGACCGGACCGGUAGUAGGUUGUUAUCUAUAUUUCAUACCCGUGCGUCUUAAGGGGGCUUGCCACCCUUAUAUUUAUUUCUAUUUUUUCAGAGAAACUCUUUUUUUUUUAAUUUCAUAUGAUGUGGAACGUAAAGAUACAUACAACCCUAAAUUUUCACUUUUCCAGCGCUAACCGUUAUUUUUUAAUGGCCAUUUAAAUAUUUUACAUCUAUAUAAACAAAAGAAAGUCGUGACAGUUACCAACACAUAACUCGAGAACGACUGAAUAUAUUUUUAUGAAAUGUUCCACGUGUAUUUGACCGGACCGAGAAUAGGUUGUUAUGUAUUUUUCAUAUCCGUACGUCGUAACGGGGGCUGCCCCCCUAAAAUAUUUUUUUAUUUUUUUGGUCAAACUGUUUUUUCUUAAUUUUAUGUGAUGUGGAAGGCAAAGGUAAAUACAACCCUAAAUUUUCACUUUUCUAUCUUCGACCGUUAUUUUUUAAUAGCCAUCUAAAGUUUUGCAUCUUAUAUAUAAAAAUCUAUUGCUGUGCGUUAGUCUCGCUAAAACUCGAGAAUGUGUGGACCGAUUUGGCUAAUUUUGAUGUUGAAUUAUUUGUGGAAGUUCAGGGAAGGUUUAUACGGUUUUAUAUUGUCAUUUUAGUAGCCACCAAAAUUUUUACAGCUAUAUGUAUAAAAUGCUCUUUUUACAGUGUUUGUUGCCAUACUCCUCCGAAACGACUUGACCGAUUUUUAUGAAAGUUUGCAAGUGUACUCGACCGGACCGGUAGUAGGUUGUUAUCUAUAUUUCAUACCCGUGCGUCUUAAGGGGGCUUGCCACCCUUAUAUUUAUUUCUAUUUUUUCAGAGAAACUCUUUUUUUUUUAAUUUCAUAUGAUGUGGAACGUAAAGAUACAUACAACCCUAAAUUUUCACUUUUCCAGCGCUAACCGUUAUUUUUUAAUGGCCAUUUAAAUAUUUUACAUCUAUAUAAACAAAAGAAAGUCGUGACAGUUACCAACACAUAACUCGAGAACGACUGAAUAUAUUUUUAUGAAAUGUUCCACGUGUAUUUGACCGGACCGAGAAUAGGUUGUUAUGUAUUUUUCAUAUCCGUACGUCGUAACGGGGGCUGCCCCCCUAAAAUAUUUUUUUAUUUUUUUGGUCAAACUGUUUUUUCUUAAUUUUAUGUGAUGUGGAAGGCAAAGGUAAAUACAACCCUAAAUUUUCACUUUUCUAUCUUCGACCGUUAUUUUUUAAUAGCCAUCUAAAGUUUUGCAUCUUAUAUAUAAAAAUCUAUUGCUGUGCGUUAGUCUCGCUAAAACUCGAGAAUGUGUGGACCGAUUUGGCUAAUUUUGAUGUUGAAUUAUUUGUGGAAGUUCAGGGAAGGUUUAUACGGUUUUAUAUUGUCAUUUUAGUAGCCACCAAAAUUUUUACAGCUAUAUGUAUAAAAUGCUCUUUUUACAGUGUUUGUUGCCAUACUCCUCCGAAACGACUUGACCGAUUUUUAUGAAAGUUUGCAAGUGUACUCGACCGGACCGGUAGUAGGUUGUUAUCUAUAUUUCAUACCCGUGCGUCUUAAGGGGGCUUGCCACCCUUAUAUUUAUUUCUAUUUUUUCAGAGAAACUCUUUUUUUUUUAAUUUCAUAUGAUGUGGAACGUAAAGAUACAUACAACCCUAAAUUUUCACUUUUCCAGCGCUAACCGUUAUUUUUUAAUGGCCAUUUAAAUAUUUUACAUCUAUAUAAACAAAAGAAAGUCGUGACAGUUACCAACACAUAACUCGAGAACGACUGAAUAUAUUUUUAUGAAAUGUUCCACGUGUAUUUGACCGGACCGAGAAUAGGUUGUUAUGUAUUUUUCAUAUCCGUACGUCGUAACGGGGGCUGCCCCCCUAAAAUAUUUUUUUAUUUUUUUGGUCAAACUGUUUUUUCUUAAUUUUGUGUGAUGUGGAAGGCAAAGGUAAAUACAACCCUAAAUGUUCACUUUUCUAUCUUCGACCGUUAUUUUUUAAUAUUUUUAUUAGACUAUAUUUUCUUUUAUUUAAUUUUAUUAUU